rnacentral:rRNA from 1 species
UCGGGAAUUUUGCUCAAUGGGGGAAACCCUGAAGCAGCAACGCCGCGUGAGGGAUGAAGGCCUUCGGGUCGUAAACCUCUUUUGCCGAGGACGAUGAUGACGGUACUCGGUGAAUAAGCCACGGCUAACUACGUGCCAGCAGCCGCGGUAAUACGUAGGUGGCAAGCGUUGUCCGGAUUUACUGGGCGUAAAGAGCGCGCAGGCGGUCGUAUAAGUCGAAUGUGAAAGCCCCCGGCUCAACUGGGGAGGGUCAUUCGAUACUGUUCGACUCGAAGGCAGGAGAGGGAAGUGGAAUUCCGGGUGUAGUGGUGAAAUGCGUAGAUAUCCGGAGGAACACCAGUGGCGAAGGCGACUUUCUGGCCUGUUCUUGACGCUGAGGCGCGAAAGCUAGGGGAGCAAACGGGAUUAGAUACCCCGGUAGUCCUAGCCGUAAACGAUGGACACUAGGUGUUGGUGGUAUCAACCCCGCCAGUGCCGUAGCUAACGCAUUAAGUGUCCCGCUGGGGAUACGGCCGCAAGG